GAUAAACGCUGGCGGCGUGCCUAAUACAUGCAAGUCGAGCGAACGGACGAGAAGCUUGCUUCUCUGAUGUUAGCGGCGGACGGGUGAGUAACACGUGGAUAACCUACCUAUAAGACUGGGAUAACUUCGGGAAACCGGAGCUAAUACCGGAUAAUAUUUUGAACCGCAUGGUUCAAAAGUGAAAGACGGUCUUGCUGUCACUUAUAGAUGGAUCCGCGCUGCAUUAGCUAGUUGGUAAGGUAACGGCUUACCAAGGCAACGAUGCAUAGUCGACCUGAGAGGGUGAUCGGCCACACUGGAACUGAGACACGGUCCAGACUCCUACGGGAGGCAGCAGUAGGGAAUCUUCCGCAAUGGGCGAAAGCCUGACGGAGCAACGCCGCGUGAGUGAUGAAGGUCUUCGGAUCGUAAAACUCUGUUAUUAGGGAAGAACAUAUGUGUAAGUAACUGUGCACAUCUUGACGGUACCUAAUCAGAAAGCCACGGCUAACUACGUGCCAGCAGCCGCGGUAAUACGUAGGUGGCAAGCGUUAUCCGGAAUUAUUGGGCGUAAAGCGCGCGUAGGCGGUUUUUUAAGUCUGAUGUGAAAGCCCACGGCUCAACCGUGGAGGGUCAUUGGAAACUGGAAAACUUGAGUGCAGAAGAGGAAAGUGGAAUUCCAUGUGUAGCGGUGAAAUGCGCAGAGAUAUGGAGGAACACCAGUGGCGAAGGCGACUUUCUGGUCUGUAACUGACGCUGAUGUGCGAAAGCGUGGGGAUCAAACAGGAUUAGAUACCCUGGUAGUCCACGCCGUAAACGAUGAGUGCUAAGUGUUAGGGGGUUUCCGCCCCUUAGUGCUGCAGCUAACGCAUUAAGCACUCCGCCUGGGGAGUACGACCGCAAGGUUGAAACUCAAAGGAAUUGACGGGGACCCGCACAAGCGGUGGAGCAUGUGGUUUAAUUCGAAGCAACGCGAAGAACCUUACCAAAUCUUGACAUCCUUUGACGACUCUAGAGAUAGAGCCUUCCCCUUCGGGGGACAAAGUGACAGGUGGUGCAUGGUUGUCGUCAGCUCGUGUCGUGAGAUGUUGGGUUAAGUCCCGCAACGAGCGCAACCCUUAAGCUUAGUUGCCAUCAUUAAGUUGGGCACUCUAAGUUGACUGCCGGUGACAAACCGGAGGAAGGUGGGGAUGACGUCAAAUCAUCAUGCCCCUUAUGAUUUGGACUACACACGUGCUACAAUGGACAAUACAAAGGGCAGCGAAACCGCGAGGUCAAGCAAAUCCCAUAAAGUUGUUCUCAGUUCGGAUUGCAGUCUGCAACUCGACUACAUGAAGCUGGAAUCGCUAGUAAUCGUAGAUCAGCAUGCUACGGUGAAUACGUUCCCGGGUCU
rnacentral:rRNA from 1 species